rnacentral:rRNA from 1 species
UACGAAGGGGGCUAGCGUUGCUCGGAAUCACUGGGCGUAAAGGGUGCGUAGGCGGGUCUUUAAGUCAGGGGUGAAAUCCUGGAGCUCAACUCCAGAACUGCCUUUGAUACUGAGGAUCUUGAGUUCGGGAGAGGUGAGUGGAGCUGCGAGUGUAGAGGUGAAAUUCGUAGAUAUUCGCAAGAACACCAGUGGCGAAGGCGGCUCACUGGCCCGGUACUGACGCUGAGGUGCGAAAGCGUGGGGAGCAAACAGG